GACGGAAGGUGCAAGCGUUGCUCGGAAUCACUGGGCGUAAAGGGUGCGUAGGCGGCCGUGCAAGUCUGGCGUGAAAGCCCCGGGCUCAGCCCGGGAAGUGCGCUCGAAACUGCGCGGCUCGAGUGCCGGAGGGGAGAGUGGAAUUCCUGGUGUAGCGGUGAAAUGCGUAGAUAUCAGGAGGAAUACCGAUGGCGAAAGCGACUCUCUGGGCCGAUACUGACGCUGAGGAGCGAAAGCGUGGGGAGCAAACAGG
rnacentral:rRNA from 1 species